UAUUAUACAAAGAAUUCCCAAGGACUGGUAGUACAAAUCAUGAGCUUCUAAGAUUUAGAGUUUACAAAGCUGGUACGAAAUAAAUACAUCAUAUGUUUGAAACAUACAUAAACAGAUUUAUAAUUCUAAAGCUACCAAGAUCAAAAGGCAGCUAUGACCGAAACACAUGUACAUCUUCAAAUCCAGCUCCCGCCAUGCAAACCAACAUCAACAUCCAACAUCUGCAUGCAAGGUGCAGAAGUAUAGUAUGAGUACAACCGACCCCAUAUACUCGAUAAGUAACAAACCUAACCUUAAGUUGAAAGUAGUGACGAGUUGGGACAAGGGUCAGUGUAAAACUCCAAUAACCAGCAACAUAAUAAAAAUGGUACAAGAAAUAACUCAGAGGUAUGAUGCUCAACUCGUUCACAUUUACGGAAAAAUAGGCAUGUUUUUCAAAGAUGUCAGUAAAACUCAAUUUUUUUCCCAAUCGCCAAAAAUAUGAGUAAGUCUGAAACUGUGUGUUUUCCCAAAAACCUUUCAACAAUAAAUAAGAUGUUUCAUUUUCGGAUAGCAUGAGAAAAGUACAUCUCUAUGCCUACAUGUCAAUAUGCAAGUGAAAUCAUGAAUGUCACCAAAACAUGGUAGCAUGAGGAAAUGCAUCUCUAUGUCUAUAUCUCAAGUAUCCAUGUCAAAUGCAAUGCAUCUUAGUGAUAAACUCAUGUACUCACAAUCUCAGAGUACACAAUAUCACUAUCUUACACUCUCACUCAUCACGCUCAAUACUCAGCACACUUAGUCACUCAGUACGGUACAAGGCAGAUCCAAUCCAAACAUAAAUAAAUCCUCACACUCAAUUACUCAGUAAUGUAUAGGGAAAAUCCAGCCCAAAAAUCAAUAGUAAUUGCGCUCACUAAGGGUGUGCAGACUCCGAAGGGGCAGAUCCAGCCCAAGCGCUAAUAUAACCUGUUGCGGCGUGCAUCCCGAUCCACAUUUAUAUAGCCAUAAGACUUGUUGCGGCGUGCAACCCGAUCCACAUAUAUCGAUAAUACCUUAUGCGACGUGAAACCCGAUCCCAUCAUGAAUCAAUAAUACCUGUUACGGCGUGCAGCCCGAUCCUAUAAACAUCCUCACAAACAGGCCCUCGGCUUCACUCAACCAUCAAUCUCUCAAGUCUCUCGGGCUCACUAUGUUAUGAAAAUCAAGCCCAAAAUAAUGAUGUGAUGUAUCAAUAAAUGGUAACAGAGACUGAGAUAUGAUAUGCAGAUGAAUGUGUAAGACUGAGUAUGUAAUUGCAACGUAAGCAAAUAACUCAAUAGCAUAAACGACCUCAGUGGGUCCCAACAGGAUAAACAUAUAACCUAGAAAUUAUUUCUAAUAUGGAUCGCCACUUAAUUACUCUAGCACGUAGAAAUUUCAUAGAUACAAAUAAGAUUAGAGAACUACACACUACCACAGAAAUAACCGAGUCACAACUCGUACGGUACAUGCCCGUCACCUAGCAUGUGUGUCACCUUAACACCAAAUACAUAUCACGUAUAUUCAGGGGUUCAUACCCUCAGCACCAAGUUUAGACGUGUUACUUACUUCGAACAAGCCAAAUCCAAUACCGAGCAAGCGAAAUGAUACUAAAAAAUUCCAUCAUGUACGUACCAACCUCCAAACAGCUCGAAACUAGCCAAAAGUAACUCAAAUACAUCAAAUAAAGCCUAAGGAAACAAUUCCAAAUGAUAAAGGUUGAAUCUUUAAUCAAACACUCAAAGUCACUCAAAAAGUCAAACUCGAGCCCGGGCCUCAGAACCCGAUGAAAAUUACAAAAUCCGACAAUCCAUUCAAUUACGAGUCUAACCAUAGUAGUUUCACUCAAAUCCGAGAUAUUCAAAACUCAAAACUUCACUGUAUGAAACUAUAGAUAAUAACCCCCAAUUUCUCUCUUGAAAUCCUCAAUCAAAUGCCAAAAACAAAGAUACAAUCAUGAAAUAUAACCAAAAAUGAGUAGAGAACACUUACCCCAAUCCAUAUGGUAAAAAAUGCUCCAAAAAUCGUCUCAAUCCGAGGUCUGUAGCUCCAAAUAUGAAUAAAAUGACCAAACCCUCGAUUUAAAGCUUCUGCAAAGCCAUUUUCGCUUUUGCGAACAAAUGAACCACUUCUGCGGCGUCGUUUUUGCGACCACAAAUGUUUUUUUGUGACCACGACUAACUUGCAAACCCUCGCACCUGUGGCACAAUUUAUGCUUCUACGGCCAUCGCAGGUGCGAGCUCCUUUUUGCUCAUGCGUAAUACCUCACUUCUGCGCCCAUGACCCUCGCUUCUGCGAAGUCACAGAUGCGACUCAAAUUUUGCAUCUGCGAAGACUCCAAACACUGUCUUCUCCCGCUUGUGCGACCAAUUGUUCGCAUCUGCGAGCUCGCAUCUGCGUCCAUCUUUCUGCAGAUGCGGAAACACCAGAACCAGUACAAACCAGUCUUAACCAAAAUUUCCAAAAUGAUUCGAACCAUGACCAAAACUCUCUCGUGCCUCUCGGAACCCCGUCCGAAUAUACCAAAAAAUCUCAUAUCAUAACACGGACCUACUCGAGGCCUCAAAUCACGCAUAACAACAUCGAAACGCCGAAUUGCACCUCAAAUCAAACUUAAUGAGCUUUCAACUUCCAAAACUAGUGCCGAAACAUAUCAAAUCAACUCGGAAUGAAUUCAAAUUUUUAACACAAAUCCCAAAUGAAAUGAAAAAUCUAUUCCAAUUCCCGAAACCACAAUCCGAAUCUGAUAUCCUCAAAGUCAACUCCCGGUCAAACUUAUGAACUUUCCAAACCUUCAAGUUUUCAACUUUUGCCAAGUCGCGCCGAAACCUUCUAGAAAUCUCCAAAUGCAAAUACGGAAAUACACCCGAGUCCAAAUCACCAUCCGGACCUAACGAAACUAUCAAAACUCCGAACCGAGGUCAAAUACUAAAAAGUCAAACUUGGUCAACUCUUCUAAUUUAAAGUUUCCUAAUUGAGAAUCAUUAUUCCAAAUCAAUUCCGAAUAAUUUAAAAACAAAAACCGAUGAUUCACACAAGUCAUAUACAUCAUACGAUGCUACUCAAGACUUCAAAUAGCUAAACAAAAUGCAAAUGCUCAAAACAACUGGCUGGGUCGUUACAUUCUCCCGCACUUAAGCAUACGUUCAUCCUCGAACGUGCCAAAAGUCAUUCCAAAGCCAUCAAAUCGUCGUGUAACCUUACCAUGCAUAUACCCGGGGUGAUCCCACAUCACCCUAAUCCGUAUAAGCCCGAUGACACAACUUAACUGAAGAUCCUUAAUUUAACUUUAGCCUAUAAACCUUAGAAUCCGAUUUCCAACAUCCAAAUUUCCUAUAAGACCCGAAUCUCGCAUUUACACACCGUAUAAGUCGGAACAAGCUGCAUCAAGCCAUAACCAUAACCCAAGACACAAUCACAUGAUAUACCACAUAACUCAAAUACUCAUAGCAAUAACUUCCGAUCGCAAUAGUUGCUCGAUAACCAACCCAAUACCGGUAACAAAUGUCAUAUCAAACAAACUGUCAUGACCCGUAUCAGAGGGCCAUGACUGGCACCCGGUGCCUACUCAACUGAGAGCCACGUACCUUAUUCCUUUUUUCUUCUACAAAACUUAUCACGGGCCAUGAUAGGCCAUAUCUAUAUAUGUAAUUAAUAAUAUUAGAACUUAACUCAUAUAACUAAUUCAAAAAGAUUUAUAUAGAUACAUAGGGGCUGACAAGGCCGUUGACAUGUCAUAGCUAAAGCUAUACACAGGACACUGUCUGCAAAACCUCUAAGAAAACAUGACCAUAACAUAUAAGUUGGGACAGGGUCCCUAACAUCCUUAUAAAACAAAGUAACAUAUAUAGAACGUGACUUGACAAUACUCUAGGAAGAUGUGGAGCUCACCAACCAAAAGCUGAUAUCUGGAGGCAGCCUACAAUGGAUGAUCCUCACCUUGCCUAUCUACACCUGCGUGGCAUGAAGCACAGUGCCCCAGAAAAAAAAAGGCGUUAGUACGAAGAAUGUACCGAGUAUGUAAGGCAGCAAUGAAAUGUAAUAAUAAUAAGAUAUUAUCUCGGGGGAGAGAUAAGAGUCAACUUAUAACUUCUGACUUGUCGCUGAGGGCCGUAACAUAUAGAAUAAAAUCCAUAUCGUAUAUAUAAAUAAAGUUACAAUACAAUAGUUCUAGUUACCUCAUUUUUGUAACGUUAACUGCCCAACUGAUCAGUGGUAACUGCCCGAUUGACCGUAGCUCGGUGGUAAAUGCAUAACUGCCCAAGCGAUGAUAAAUAAAUAAUAAUACAUAACUAUCCAACCGGUGGUAACUGCCCGACCAGCCGUAGCUCGGUGGUAGAUGUAUAACUGCCCAAUCGGUCGUAGCUCGGUGGUAAAUAUUACAACGUCACCACUAGUUACAUAUAUAAAUACAAUAUCUGAAGAGCCUUUUAGGAUAAUUAGAAUAUCUUUCAAAGUGACUUAUAGUCGUUUACUCCCGACAUGUACCACUAAUUAUGAAAAAUAGUAAAUACCCGAUAGAAUAAUCGCAAGUUGACCCUAACACCACCAUUUUAAAAAACAAUAUGGCAGCAUUGUUGCAUCAUUUGGCAUGCAACAUUUGGUGUAGGUUUCUAUUUGGACAUAAAUAUAUUCCUCAAUUGAAAACUAACUAUCAGAUUAUUUAUUUUGAUUACUUGUUAAGGAAAGAACACCGUAUUUGGAAAUAGAAGUUAUCCGAUCCUUAAAACAAAAAUUAAGAAACCAACAUUCUUGCAUCUAUAAUAACAACUAAUGGAUUAAGAAUAUCAUAGAAGUUAGCACUAUAUAUAUAUAUAUGAACUAACAUCAUCCACAUGCGGUCAAUAAGAAUCAAGCAUCAGUGCCAUGAGUAAGAGUUUACAUUAUAAAAGACAAUGAACAAAAGCUUUCUGUAUUUACUAGGAAUAAUAUCAUGUUUUAGUAUUGAGUUUGUUUACACGCCAUAGUUGGAGUCAUGCCAAAAGGAAAAAGGAUAGAUUUAACAUACCUGGAGUAGGAAAAACUCCGUAUAAUACUUUUGGAGAAGAUUUCACCGUACUUCUAUAUAACCGCAAAAAUUGGAUGGACUUUUAGCUUCUGUCCUUGUAGUAUUGAACUAGGAAAGACAUAUGUUUCUUGAUUUUGAAUUAAGAACAAAAUAUGGACUUUAACUUCUGGUCUUAGAAGCAACUGGAACUUGGAAAAUGAUAUUGCAUUAGGAACAUUUUUCCUUCUUUUGUCCAAAUGAAAGAAUGAGAUAACACUUAUCAUAAGUCUUUACUUAUUAAUUCCAAAUAAAUCCUAGAUAGACACCUAAGACUAUAUGACUACUUAGUCAUUCUCUAGAUUUGUGGCUUUUUGCCAAGUUUUUGGGGGUGUAUUUUAUUAAUUUUUAUCCAUUUAUUAGUUAACUGGGUAAUGUCCCGUUACCCGGUAAUUAACCAAUUACUCGCAUAAUUUAAAAAUUACUUCAAAUUACUUAAAAUUAUACUUAUUUUUAAUAUACUUUAUACAUCAUACUAUCACGUCCAUAUGGUACCUUGUAUGAUACUAGUCCAUAAUUAUCGGGUAUUAUCGCUCGACCCGUAUUUUAUCCCAAAUUGGCCACUUUCAACGAAACUCGUUUUCUUUAAUUUGUGUACCCUUUAUCCUUCUUGACACUUACUUAUUGCUUGUUAUAAUUAGCAUAAAUACGUUAACCUCAAGAUAAUCUCAUCCCCGAGUCUACGUCAAUUAACGGAAGACGAAACUUUAACGUACGAAAAUGCGAGAUGUAACAUCCUUCCCCCUAGAAAUAUUCGUCCUCGAAUGUUUAAACUUGCAAGAUGUACAUACAUAUCCAUCUAUUAUAAAUGUAUAUAUCUUCCCGGGCUAAACUCCAAUGAAACAAAUAGCAAGCUCUCACGGGGUCAGGACGUCGUCCCUCCCUAAAACUACUUCCUAAUCAAUUCGUCACCUAUGAUUCUGUUAAUAUAUCUUCUAGGUGCUGUCACCUAUUAGUUGUAAUCUUAAUAACUGGGUUCAUGCUUUCCUUUCAAAGCUAGCCUUGGUUUCCCUUAACCCUUCUGGCGCAAUGCCAACUUACUCUUACAUUAAUCAUAUUAAAUGGACAAUUUGCGUUAAUAAGAUCGAACAUUACCAAUAAUCACAAUACCUGACACAUCAUCCGGUGUAGCCUCUGGGUCCUGACAACCUGCCAAAGCAUAUAUGCGGUUCUGACUACCGUCAGAGCUAGAUGCUCCAUCCCUGACUCUACCUCUACCAGUUGAUGCCCGAUGGCCUCUCUCUUGAGAAGAGGAGGAUACUGUAUAGAUCUGGUGGGCUGAACCAUCCCGCUUAUGUUAUUCAUAGCGCAAUCCCCCAUGUAAUGACUAGGGUCUCCACAUGUAUAACAUAUAUUAGAUCCCUGACGACAUUGUCCAGAAUGAGCUCUACUGCAUUGACUGCACCGUGGAGGAGGCGCCCUCAUCUACGCUGAAUCCCUCCGAUUCUAAAAACCCAAAAUUCUCGAGCCCUGACCUGAUUCAGAAUAGACAGAUCCCUCAUAAUACGACUUCUGCAGUUGUCAGAUACUUUCAAUAGGAUAUGGUGACAUAGGAUCGCCCGAAAAAUCCUCAGGUCGCCUAGCAGACCUGGCCUUCUUACGCUGACCCUCAUCACGAUUCUCGUAUUGUUGUCAUUAUCAGUCCUCCAAAUUUUGAGCAUAAGCCUGGAUGCCAGAAAUAUCCAUACCAUCGAGCAGAGCGGCUGUGGAGCAUUCAUUAAUCAGGUGCGGCCCAAGUCCUAUGACAAACCGAUACACUUGAUCACUCAUUUCAGCCACAAUCUAGGGGGCAUACCUUGCCAAGGAAUCAAACUGGAGACUAUACUCUUGCACACUCAUAUUCCCCUAUUUAAGAGACAAGAACCUGUCUACCCUUGCUUGAUGAAUCUCUAUUGGCAAGUAAUGACACAAGAAAUCCCCUGAGAACUCUUCCCAUAGUGCUGGAGAUGCAUUUGUCCCUCUAGACAAUUCCCAAGUUUCUUACCACUGAACCACAACAUCUCGCAAUAGGUAUGAGGCCAACUCUACUAACUCAGUGUCCGAUGCAUGCAUUACCCUCAAAGUCCUCUGCAUCCUAUCAAUAAAGUUUUGCGGGUCCUCAUCCUUAUUGGAUCCAGUAAACUCUGGAGGGUCCAGGUUGAUAAAGACUCAAACUCUCGCGCUAAUAACCCUGUUAACGUGACCAACAUUUGUACCUACCUAGUGCUGAGCCUGAGUGGCUACCAACCUAGUCAACAACUGUACUGCACUCCGCAUAUCCAUAUCCUCAUCCAGAACAAUAGGUGGAGGUACUGGGUUCCUCAUCAUCUCCUCGGGUGUUGACAAAAUCGGAGAACUAUGCGAGGGUGUCAUAUUUCCCCUCAGGGCCUCACUUUGGACCUCACUAGACAUUGGUACUCUACUCAUGCCCUCAUAUGCCACUACUUUACCCUUUUGACUAGCCGUAGCGUUCCAAGUCAUAGACAUUGCUGCAUAUAUAAAACAAGUCAAAGAUCAAGGGCUUUGUUCCCUAUAACUUUGCUCUAUUACACGAUCUAAUAUCAAGAAGAAAGGGUAGCCGGUCCCUAAAUGCCCUGUAGUUUCUUGCUUAUAUAACGUGGUGGACAACACAUUUAUAAACAAGACUUUACUAGACACGGCUUGCAGACAACCCUAGGACAGAACUACUCUGAUACCACUUUAUCAUGACCCAUAUCAGAGGGCCAUGACUGGCACCUGGUGCCUAUUCAACCGAGUGCCACGUGUCACACCUCCUUUUUACUACUCCGGAAGGGUAUAAGGGAGUUUUUCCAAUUUAAGUGACAAUCAAAAUGGGAUUAUUUAUAUUAAUCAGAGUCUCCACUUGGGAUAAUUAUGGUGUCCCAAGUCACCGGUUUAAAAUCCCGAAUCGAGGAAUUUUGACUCAUUUUUACAGUCCACAAAACACAGAAAUCCGGCUAAGGACUUCUGUUAAUUCAGGAGAAGGUGUUAGGCAUUCCCGAGUUCCGUGGUUUUAGCACGGUCGCUUUAAUCAUACUUGGCUUAAUUAAAUUGUCUAAUUACAUGUUUAAGAACAUAUGUACAUUUUUACCUUUUACCACUUUUAAUUAAGAAUUUAUCCUAAAGCAAGUCACACGUACGUGUACUCAUUCCAUUUUGCAUAUAAAAAAUCAUGUCACACGUACGUGUCCACAAUUAAUAAUGCUUUAUUAUUAUUAAGCAAUUUUGGUCAAAGUUGUGCGAACACAUACUCCGGGUUUGUUUUUAGAUAGAUUAAGUCUCACCUAAAACAUUUUCUACGAAUAUUCAUUUUUUUUAAAAACGUACUCGUGUUACGCGAAUGUGUACACAACUAAUAACAUUUUAUUAUUAUUAAGAUUAUUUGACCAAAGUCACGCGAACGUGUACCUUGAUUUUGGUCAUGUAACUUGUCAUGUAUCAAUCACAAAGGAAUGAAACCAAACAUAUAACCGCAAAGCCUUAAAUAUGUCAUACAAAUUCAAAGCUACUAGUAGAAAGAAAUGAACCAUAUAUGUUCCUAUGCAUAGAUUUAAUAAUUUAUACUUCAAGUGGCAAAGCCAAGAAACAGGGUUGGAGAUCACAAAAUGCAAACAGUUAAUUAGAUUCAUAAAAUGUUUAUGACCUUUUUAAAAAGUUUAUCUAUUUUUAUGUAUUUUAAUUAGACUCAACAAAUUAGUCUUGGGUUUUUAAAAGAAAAUAACACUGUAGGCUGUAGCAAUCCUCUUGAUUAAGACAGUGUUAGAACACGCACAACACUCUUUUAUUCGAAUAGUGAAAGGAAGAACAGAGAACAAAGCUCAUAGUUACUAGUAAACACAUGUUUCAAAUGCAUUGCAUCAAUUAAUAUCAACUCAUGAAAUCUAGCAAUUCCAAUUAUGUAACUCAAAUGUUAAUGUAGAGAUCUGGUGUGUACCUAGUAUUCAAAAGCCAACUUGAGAAGCCACAUAAAGGCUAAGAGAAACAACCAUGAAUUUGAUGUCACCGUUGAUAAGCAACCACAACAGUAAUUUUUGCUUUUGAAGAAACUUUCGAUUAACGAAAAAGUACAGCAGCUACAAUAGAUGGAAAGCGCAGCUAUGAGUGAAACUCGAAUAGCGACCGAACUCGAAUGACAACAGUAAAGAACUAGAUCCACGUUUUCAUUCCCAAAAUCCCAGUAAAGGAGAUCGAACCCAAACCAAAAUAGAGAACCAUAACUAAAGCUAACGAAUGGAAAGUCUGACGAACUCGAACUCGAUGGCAAUCGAACCCAACUUCAGCGACUCGAACCACGACCAAAUAGCUGCUCGUACUUGAAUAGUUUGAGAGCUAUUUACGAGGUGUGGCUGCUGCUGUAUGCGUUUGAGCAGAAAUGAAAAAGGGGGUCAGUAUCCACUGGCUUCUGUCCAGUGGUCGUUUUUGGUGUUCGAUUUUCUGAAGAAGAAGGGGUAACGGUUAUGGGGGCUAUUUUUUGGAGUUGCCGCUGGUUGGGGUGUGGUGGCAACGGACUGGUUGUUGAAGAAAUGUGGGGUGAGAUGAAGAAGAAGAUGUCCAGGGGGUUCUCGAUAGGGGUCCCUUAACGCUGAAGAAGAUGAAGAACGGGGGGGGGGAUCUCUUAUGUGUUAAACGACGGAUGUUCAGGGUCUUAGGUUGAAGAUGGGUCGUUUGGGGUGGAGUGAAGAAGAUGAAUUUCAGGCUGGGGGGGGGGGGGGGUCCUCUGUUCUCUAUUGCUUCUUCAGAUUUUUUUUUUGUAUAGGUUAGUCCAAAUCAGAAAAAGAACGGCGAAUCUUUUUU
rnacentral:lncRNA from 1 species